ACUGCGAGUGAAGCGGGAAGAGCUCAAAUUUAAAAUCUGGCGGUCUCCGGCCGUCCGAGUUGUAAUCUAGAGAAGCGCUACCCGCGCCGGACCGUGCAUAAGUCUCCUGGAACGGAGCGUCACAGAGGGUGAGAAUCCCGUCUUUGGCACGGACCCCCGGGGCUUUGUGGUGCGCUCUCGAAGAGUCGAGUUGUUUGGGAAUGCAGCUCAAAAUGGGUGGUAAAUUCCAUCUAAAGCUAAAUAUUGGCGAGAGACCGAUAGCGAACAAGUACCGUGAGGGAAAGAUGAAAAGCACUUUGGAAAGAGAGUUAAACAGUACGUGAAAUUGUUGAAAGGGAAACGCUUGAAGUCAGUCGCGUCGGCCGGGGAUCAACCUUGCACUCUUGCGGGGCGUACUUCCCGGUCGACGGGUCAGCAUCGGUUUCGACCGCCGGAGAAGGGUCGGGGGAAUGUGGCACCUCCGGGUGUGUUAUAGCCCCUGGUCGCAUGCGGCGGUCGGGACCGAGGGACUCAGCGCGCCGAAAGGCCGGGUCCUCGGACCACGUUCGCGCUUAGGAUGCUGGCGUAAUGGCUUUAAUCGACC
rnacentral:rRNA from 1 species